GAUGAACGCUCGCGAUAGGCUUAACACAUGCAAGUCGAGGGGUAACGUGUUGGAAGCUUGCUUCCGAUGACGACGACCGGCGGAUGGGUGCGUAACGCGUAUGCAACUUGCCUCACAGUGGAGAAUAACCCGGAGAAAUCCGGACUAAUACUCCAUACACUCUUAAGUACGCCUGUACAUGAGAGGAAAGAUUUAUCGCUGUGAGAUAGGCAUGCGUCCUAUUAGGUAGUUGGUGAGGUAACGGCUCACCAAGCCGACGAUAGGUAGGGGUGCUGAGAGGCAGAUCCCCCACAUUGGGACUGAGACACGGCCCAAACUCCUACGGGAGGCAGCAGGGAGGAAUAUUGGUCAAUGGAGGAAACUCUGAACCAGCCAAGUCGCGUGAAGGAAGAAUGUCCUAAGGAUUGUAAACUUCUUUAGCGAGCGAGUAAGGACUUCCACGUGAUGGGAGUUUGAAAGUAGCUCGAGAAUAAGUAUCGGCUAACUCCGUG
rnacentral:rRNA from 1 species